rnacentral:lncRNA from 1 species
CUAGAAUAUAUAAAGAACUCAAAAAACUUCACACCAAAAAGUCAAAUAACCCAAUUAAUAAGUGGGCAAAUGAACAAAACAGACACUUCCCAAAAGAAAAAAUACAGUGGCCAACAAAUACAUGAAAAAAUGUUCAACAUCAUUAGCAAUUAGGGAAAUGCAAAUCAAAACUAUACUGAGAUUUCAUCUCACCCAGUCAGAACAGAAGUCAUUAAGAAAGCAAAUAAUAAAUGCUAGAGAGAAUGUGGAGAAAAAGGACUAUUUUUACACUGUUGGUGGGAUUGUAAAAUAGUAUAACCACUAUGGAAAUCAGGGUGGAGGUUCCUCAAAGGAUUAGGAAUGGAGGACUGGGGUUGUAGCUCAGUGGUAGAGUGCUUGCUGAGCAUGUGUAAGGUGCUGGGUUUGAUCCUCAGCACCAUAUAAAAAUAAAUAAAUAAAGGUUGGGGCUGGAGUUGUGGCUCAGAGGUGGAUCACUUGCCUAGCAUGUGUGAGGCAUUGGGUUCAAUCCUCAGCACCACAUAAAAAUAAAAAAAGAUACAGUGUUCACCUAUAACUAAAAAAUUAAUAUUAAAAAAGUAUUUUAUCCAUCUACAACUAAAAAAAUAUAUAUUAAAAAAAGGAAUGGAAACAUCAUAUGACCCAGCUAUACCACUCCUGAUAUUCAUCCUGAAGAAUUUUAAGUCAGCAUACAACAGUGAUUACAGGCAUACCCAUUUAUAGCAGCAUAAUUCACAAUAGUAAACCAUGGAACCAUCCUAGGUGUCCAUCAGUGUAUAAAUGGAUAAAGAAAACGUGGUAUAUAUACAGAAC